rnacentral:rRNA from 1 species
UACGGAGGGUGCAAGCGUUAUCCGGAUUCACUGGGUUUAAAGGGUGCGUAGGCGGGCAGGUAAGUCAGUGGUGAAAUCUCCGGGCUCAACUCGGAAACUGCCGUUGAUACUAUCUGUCUUGAAUAUCGUGGAGGUGAGUGGAAUAUGUCAUGUAGCGGUGAAAUGCUUAGAUAUGACAUAGAACACCAAUUGCGAAGGCAGCUCACUACACGUAUAUUGACUCUGAGGCACGAAAGCGUGGGGAUCAAACAGG